AUAUUUCGACCAUCAAAAGUUUGAUUUGAUCCAUAGAUCUUGAAGAGCCAGAAUGCCACGUCGUGGAAAAAGUAGCAAACCAAGCUAUGGCCGGACGACCGGGAGUCCGUACAUCCACAAGCCGCUUCCUAGCGGUGUUCCAGUACCUAUGUGCUUUUGUGGUGAUCCUUGCAAGGUAGACAUUUCAGAAGACGAGGAAACCUAUCGGCAGA